ensembl:rRNA 5S_rRNA 5S ribosomal RNA
GCUUACGGCCAUACCUCUCUGGCUCCGCCUGAUCUCGUCUGAUCUCAGAAGCUAAGCAGAGUAGGGCCUGGUUAGUACUUGGAUGGAAGACCGCCUGGGAAUCCCAGGUGCCCGUAAGCU